AGAUAGCAAUAUGGGGCCUAUGCCAAGGCAGAGAUACCCUUUUUUCAUAGAAUCACUGUGGGGUUGUUAUUGGCAUGUAGCUGAUCCGGUCAAGUACAAAUGGUCACAAGCAAAGAUAUAUGGUGCUAUCACUCUGUCCGCACUAGUGGCAACUGAAUAUGUAACUCGGAACUUCAUCUACACUUUUGAUGAGUAUCCCACCGAGGAGGUCCGAAGAUCUUACGAGUUUCCUGCACCGCUGCGCAACAAGUACAAACAAAUCUUUGGAGAGAUGGAUCAUGAUGGCAAAUUCGUCGACCCAACUGAGUUUCACAAGGAAGGAAACAAGCUACGAGACUUUCCUGAUGAUCAUGCUCAUGGCCAUCAUUGAUUUAAUCAAGUGUAUGAACUAUGAAAUGGUGAACUUGAUGAGACCUUAAUUUAUUUGUGCAAGUUCUAACAUUGCAUAACUUUUAUUAGGUCCUUAAGAAUUAAGUUAUUUUGAAAAUAUGAAUGAUUAAGGGAGUACCUAUCCACGAUCUAAUGAAUAUUUCUGCCAAGCAUAGUAAUUUUCGUCAUUUUGAGGUCCAUCAAAUUCUUGAUUAUAGUGAAUAAUGUUUUAGAGUAUUUAAUAACUUCUAGUCUGUAAAUUAUGAUAGUUCAUUACAUUCAAAGAUAUUCUUUCUUUAAGUUUGUAGAAUAAUUAGUUUUCUUUACCAAUUUUG